rnacentral:tRNA from 1 species
GGAGCUAUAGCUCAGUGUUAGAGUACUUGCUCUGCAUGCAUGAGGCCUUGGAUUAGAUUCCCAGUUCCA